rnacentral:rRNA from 1 species
AUUGAACGCUGGCGGCAUGCUUUACACAUGCAAGUCGAACGGUAACAGGGUGCUUGCACCGCUGACGAGUGGCGAACGGGUGAGUAAUGCAUCGGAAUGUACCGUGUAAUGGGGGAUAGCUCGGCGAAAGCCGGAUUAAUACCGCAUACGCCCUGAGGGGGAAAGUGGGGGACCGAAAGGCCUCACGUUAUACGAGCAGCCGAUGUCUGAUUAGCUAGUUGGUGAGGUAAAGGCUCACCAAGGCGACGAUCAGUAGCGGGUCUGAGAGGCUGAUCCGCCACACUGGGACUGAGACACGGUCCAUACUCCGACGGGAGGCCGCAGUGGGGAAUAUGGGACAAUGGGCGCAAGCCUGAUCCAGCCAUACCGCGUGGGUGAAAAAGGCCGUCGGGUUGUAAAGCCCUUUUGUUGGGAAAGAAAAGCAGCAGGCUAAGGCCCCGCUGUUCUGACGGGACCCAAAGAAUAAGCACCGGCUAACUUCGUG